GUCCCCAAACCUUUGGGGACAUCCGAUAAAAUUGGGACGAUACAGAGAAGAUUAGCAUGGCUUCUGCGCAAGGAUGACACGUAUAAGUCAGAGAAAUGUUAUAAAAAAUU
rfam:Arabidopsis thaliana chromosome 2, complete sequence.